GUCUUAUGAUGCGCAUGCACGUGACUUUGUUGUUUUUUUAUUUUUCUUCUGGGAUGAAUACCUAUUGCCCGGUUGUAAAAUUAUUGCAAUUUUACGUUAAAAAAUACCCUAAAGGAUUGAUUGUAAACAUCGUUUGAUGUGUUUCUACAAAUGGUAAUGGAACUUUGAACAUUUCGUCUAUGGAUUUGCGUCCACACCACAUGGCAUUGUAAAGUGUUCUGGAUGGGUCAACAAAACAGACGUAUUUGGACACAAAUGACGGACUUUGCAGAACAAAUGAACAUUUCUUGUGGAAGUGGGUGCCCAUCUGAAUGCAUUCCGCCGAAGAUCAGCAAAGAAGAUCCCACCACAAAUGGACCAAGCAGCGUGGUCAGGAGACAUGGACCUGGGAGGCAAGGGAUCCUGGACGUGGGAGGAGAUCCAGGUUGGAUGGCAUUGCCUCCCAUGGGAACAGGUGGAGGCAGCGAGAGCAGAGCGGCAAUGAGACGAGGAACUAGCACGCCAACGACGGAAGCACGAGAGGCAGCCCCCAAAUCUUUUUUUGGGGGGGGCACACGGGGAGAUUGGCAGAGUCAGUGUGGAGACCUGAGCCAACUCCCCGUGCUUACCGUGGGGAGCGAGUGACUGAGCAAGCACCGUGUUAUGCGGUGAUGUGCAGGGUGUCGCCAGUGCGCAUUCACAGCCCGGUGCGCUCUGUGCCAGCGCCCCACAUUUGCAGGGCUAGAGUUAGCAUUCAG
rnacentral:lncRNA from 1 species